rnacentral:rRNA from 1 species
CCUACGGGAGGCAGCAGUGGGGAAUUUUGGACAAUGGGCGCAAGCCUGAUCCAGCAAUGCCGCGUGCAGGAUGAAGGCCUUCGGGUUGUAAACUGCUUUUGUACGGAACGAAAAAGUCUGCCCUAAUACGGUGGGCCCAUGACGGUACCGUAAGAAUAAGCACCGGCUAACUACGUGCCAGCAGCCGCGGUAAUACGUAGGGUGCGAGCGUUAAUCGGAAUUACUGGGCGUAAAGCGUGCGCAGGCGGUUAUAUAAGACAGAUGUGAAAUCCCCGGGCUCAACCUGGGACCUGCAUUUGUGACUGUAUAGCUAGAGUACGGUAGAGGGGGAUGGAAUUCCGCGUGUAGCAGUGAAAUGCGUAGAUAUGCGGAGGAACACCGAUGGCGAAGGCAAUCCCCUGGACCUGUACUGACGCUCAUGCACGAAAGCGUGGGGAGCAAACAGGAUUAGAUACCCUGGUAGUCCACGCCCUAAACGAUGUCAACUGGUUGUUGGGUCUUCACUGACUCAGUAACGAAGCUAACGCGUGAAGUUGACCGCCUGGGGAAGUACGGCCGCAAGGUUGAAACUUCAAAGAUUGAGGCGNGNGAGNGCGACGACGACGACGAGGGAGGAGG